CCCCAUCACGUUAAAACGCAGGUUCCCGUUCGAUCAACGAAGUUAAGCAACCUCGAGCUUGGUUAGUAUCUAGAUGGAUGAGCGCCUGUGAAUAACAGGUUCUGUA